GGGGUUGUGGCUCAGUGGUAGAGCGCUUGCCUAGCACAGGCGAGGCCCUGGGUUCGAUCCCCAACACCA
rnacentral:tRNA from 1 species